ACUCGAGAGGGAAAAGGGAGAUUUGCUUAUGCUGGAGGGCAAGUACUGCUAAAUUCUUAGUGAACUUCAAAAUCUUCUUCAGAGUACAAAGUAUCUUUGCUGCUCCCCAGAGCCUGUAACUCAGCUCAGGAGUGUGCUAAGUGGCCCUAGGGACUCUGGGUAACAGAGCCUUACAGAGGUAACUUGCCCCUUACAGAGAUAAAGGUGCCUGCUUUCCCUAUGAGAGGUGUAGUGGAGAUCCUCUCACUGCAGAGAGACUAGAGCAGCUUUGCAGUUUUGAACCCAAACUCUGGUCCUUGUCUUUCCACAUACAGACCUUUCUGCUGAGACAGUGCUUGAGGACCCUCGAGAAUUGUGUUUGACCUUGUAACCUCCCUUCUGGCAAGAAUACUUCAUGCUGGCAGGACACUCCUUUCCUGCCUCCUGCCUGAGCCAUGUUGGUUUGGGCCCUUAGAAAUGGCUGGAAUGCCUGCCCAUAUUCAGUGCCUUUCUAUUUCCCUAAAUCUAGGUCAGAGUGAUGAAGGCCAAGGAAAUGGCAUCUUCCACAUCAUUCCAAGAGUCCUGUGACCUACUGAGCAUGGGAAGCAUCACCAUCCUCAAAAAAGACACCCUUUUUCAACUUAGUAUUUUCUUCCCCCAGCUGCUGUUGUUGCUAGGAUAAGAAUUUUACUCCCCCUUUUUGGACAUUUCUUCCCUGCCUUAGUGUUUCUUGCUAUUUUCACUCAGCUUUCACUUUGGAUCUGAAAGGGCUGGGCAAGGAGAAUGAUUUCCCAAUUAUAAAACCCCAUUUCUGUUUUCAGAAAUGCUACCUUUAUGCUGGAGCUGGAUGCAGGAGAAGAGGUAAGGUUGUGCCUCCUCCUUUUCUUUUGGUGCUCUCUCUAGCUGGAAGUUUGACCUGACUUUGCCCUCACUUGGAUUUGUGCAUUGAGUACAUGGGGAAUAACACCCAUGCCAAUAACACAUUUUGCUUUCAUGGUCAUCCAUUUCCAGACCUUCUACUGCUAAAAGACAGUAAGAGCAGCCAGGGAAGACACUGCAUCCAAAUUAAGGGAAGCAAAUGACUUAGAUGAAAAAACAAAGCAGAAAAACUGCUAACCUUUGCAGAGUUUAUUACGAAAAAACAGCACAGAGGUGAGAGAGACCAUCAACAUCAACAGCUCAGGCUCUGCCUCAGCCCUGGAUGUCCAACUGCAGUGACACAGUCCCAGUUCCUCUAUUCAAUACUCUGCCAUGGAGCUAAGCUUUCAAGUCAGGAUGGACAGAAAUGGUGAUAUGGGUCCCAUGCUGCAUUUCCUUCAGUAUUUCAAGCAAGAACUUAGGCACUGGUGUAGGUAGUAGCAUCCUGACCCAGGAACAGGGGAUCGAAAGGAGCCACACAAACUCAGUGAUUGUGAAACAGAAAAAAAUCCAGCCCCCUAUAGACACUAUGAAUAUUUUUCAUCUUUUAAUUUGAAAAAGAAAAGGUGGGAGGUAAGAGUAUUAGGAUUGAAAAGCAGACUUUUAUAGCUCAGCAGAACAUGCAGACCUCUUGAACUAAGACACUGAGAGAGAGCCUGCAUCUGAGAAGAAAAUGUAGAGGUUUUGUAAGUGAAGUCCUAGCAAGCUAUUGGCACAGCUUCUAAUAGCUUCUAAUGGCCCUAUUACUCUUUGGAAGAAAUAUUUGUAAGAAGCCUGAAAUUUAUUUAAAAAUAAAGCCAUACUUGACUGCUAAUUGGCAGAACAGUAGAAUAAAUUAAGAAAAGUCCAAGUAUGUGUCUCAGUAAAGAUAACAGAGCAGUGAGAGUUAGACAAGGCAGCAGAAACCUGGGUUUCAUGUGACAUUUGCAUAUGAGUGGGGUGCUGGAACUCCCACACUGGUGGAUUUAGAACUAGUCAGCAGUUAGUGGAGCCUAGAGAAUGAUUCAGUUAUCUCCAAAGAAAACACAAGGCAUGAUUCAGAUGUCAUUUACAAUGCCUUUGAGGAAUCUAGACAUCUUUAUUGGGCUGUCAGAUAUGUCGCAGGACCUACAAGGGACCUCAGGUCACCUGUAGUGACUGCUGGAGGCAAGGCAGAUACCCAAGGCCAUCUCAGAUGGCACCAGAAGGCUAAAUUGAAACAGUUAAAUCCAUGUGAAAAUGUAUCCUGCAGCCUAGGCACCACUGUUUGUCUUUUCUUCACUGGCUAUAUUGGGAAAUAAGAUAAAUUGGCAUCCAACUUGAAUGUAGAUAAGCCUGCAUUUAUGUGUCCAGAGCUGAAUCUUGCCAGAAAAGCCUGGCUAGGGAAGGGAGGAUAUUUGUCCUUAUCCAGGAGGUUGUCAACAACCUAAAAUACUCACCAGAACUUGCAGUGUUAAUAAUAAGAAAGGGACCUCGUAGUGCACUGUGCUGUCCAUGCCAGGGCAGAGGUGGGAGCAGAGCAGGGGGACAGGCAGUACUCUGAGUGCUGAAACCACAGUGCACAGGAAGACCAAGCCUCAAGCCAUGAAGUUACUGCGUUUAAUGGAGCUUCUGCCCCUUCAGCUGGAAGUAUUGACCCUCCCAGCCCCAGCAUCCUCAGUGCCAGCUGGUUAAGUUGUUUUAGUGAGCAUGGCAAUGGGCUGUGCACAGAUUAUGGGCAGAUACUAUGCCUCAGGUGAGUGGUCUGGUUUCCAGACAUGGGGUCAUAACUUGUAACACUGCUACCUCUGUUUCUCAGGUUUGGAAAACCAGAUCAUCUCAAAUGCUCAGGAAGCUUGUGUCAGCCUUGAGCUGUUCAGUUGCACAGUCCAAGUAACUUCUGCCUUAAUUUUCUAUAGUCUUGAAAAGAGAGAUAUGGGUUCAGGUCUUCUUUGUAAAUUGCUUUAGAGCAUCAUGAGCAAAACCUUUAUAUACAUUUCAGAGAGAAAAGAAAGCUCUAGUAGCAGUUAGUGCUAAAUCAAAUGUAAACUUACAGAAAAUCAGCAAAAAAUUGGUCAUCUACUAUUUUUUGAAGCCACUGAAUGCUCAGUUUCACUAUUUCCCAGAUGUCAACAUGGAGACACCUUAGACAACAACUUCUGUAGCCAGUUGAUUUAGGAAGCCACAAUGCUGUUUGAAUUUCCUUUCAAGUGGAAAAAGUUGGACUUAAAAUUGAGCCUCUUACUAGACGUACUGCUUCUAGUUUUACAGGGACAGUAUUUGGGCCAUUUAAGCAAAGCCACAGAAAAGUCUCAUUUUUUCCUGUCUAGAUGAGGACCCCUCACUCAUCUGGGUGCUUUUAGGCAGAAGACAGACUGUGAUGGUAAACAGUCCAUGUUACAAUUUUUUUAUGAAGAAGGAGGGUCACACAAUAUUUCUUUGGUAAGUCACAACAAGCCAGCAUGUUUUGAAAGAAAAGUUGUGGUAUCUGGUUGUAAAUAAAUUAGCUGAAGUUUUCAAAGCUUGUACCUUUCAAGAAAGAAUCACAAAUACGAAACAAAGUAGGCAAGUAAUCUUAGUAAAAUGCAUAGCUUCUAACUUAACUAAAAACUCAGCAAAUUUUAUUCUAGAGCUGAAAGCAAUUACUGGUUUACAAGCACACAUUAUAGAGGGUUCUGUUGAAGAGGUCACAAACAAUAUUUCAGGAGAUUUCAGGAGGUUGUUUUUCUAUCAAAAUUGUCUGUCCAGUGAAACUGUGAAAUUCCAGUUGAGAGAAUUGGUUCUCUUGCCUCAAACUCCACCUGUGUGCCCAGUUUUCAACCAGGUACCAUUAUCAUGAGCUCUUUCAGCAUGGAGAGAAGCCAAGCCACCACCUAUCUGGGCUGAGAUUUGCAGGACAGAGCACCAAUGAGAGAGAGCCACAAGGCAAGGAGAGCCACAUUCGCUGUGAUGGUAACUGCACAGGAGAACUGCCCUGGCCAGAAGGACUGUUCUCCACCUGGGUUAUUCAGGGCCUUCUCACACCCUUCUUCGUAUUGUAGAGAUGGCAUGGACAAAGAUCUUCACUCUUACUUCUGAAAAGUAAAGUGAACUCACACUCCCUUUUGCACGGCAUUUAUUAAUGACAGUCUUUUUAUCCAGCUGCUGACCUUUUUGUUAUGUUUGCUAAACACAUACAUAAGCUGUAGCAAUUUAUCUGGAAGAGGAAAUCGCAAGUUUGCUAGGGUGAAAAGAAGCAUUUACAAAGGCUAAAGAGCAGGUGAGGAGGAAGCUGGGGAUAUUUCUUGUAUAGCCUAUACUUGCAACUAACUUCCAUACAUGAGCUGGGGGAAUGUACAAAGUCAAGUCUAAAUUGGAGUGGCUACAAAGCAAGUGUUCCCCUUCAUUGCUCUUCAAACAUUCCUCAUGGUUAUGAGGUCAUAGGAAAAAUAUUUGUGACAAGAUGAAAUAUGACAGGUUACUUCUGUGGUUUACCAAAAUUUCAAGUCAUGCUGUGAAACGAUGACUCUGCAUUUUAACACCCGGCAGAAACUUGGGCAGUUUUUCCUGAUUAAGUUCUUGAAAUAUGUGUUGCAGACCUGUUCUGCAACCAUAUGGCAGGACAUAAGAGAGUUUGUAAUUCUUAUUUUGGACUUAUAACACUAAUUUUUGUAUUACUUUCCAUCUUACUGUUAAACUAGUUGUGGUAGCCAACCAUUCAUUUUACAUGUCCUCAUUCCCUUAGAAAGUUUUAUUUAGCCUGGAUCUAAAAUCAAAAUACUAGUAAUACAUAGAUAAUAAUAGUGUUCUCACAGUAAUGAAGUUCAAAUAGCCGUCUUUCAGUCCAUGUACUUCAUCAGCCUUGAAAAUCACAUUUUAUUACUAUCUCUUAGAAAAAGUGCUUCCCAUUACUGAAGGAUGUAAUUAUAUUAAAUUUUAACAAAAUUUAACUGUGAAUUUUCAAAGGCCAUCAUAUAUGUUCCUUUCAGAAAAAAAAAAAAACCAAAACCAAAACCAAAAAGCCACAAAAAGAAACAAAUAAACAAAACCAAAUCAAACCCAAAACAAGUAAUCAAGCUUGUGAUGACAUUCAAAACUAAGCAAGUAAAACAGUCCUUAAUCGUGAAUUAAAUAAUACUAGAAUGAGAAUGGCCACUUAUCAAGAUGUUCCUUAGGGGCAAUGGAGAGACAUAGGCACCUCCUAUUCAUGCCAUCCCUAAGAAAAUAAUUGAAAGCUAAAUGGGAUGACUUGCUUUCAGAUGUCAUGUUAUUGAAUUUAAAGAAUGGGAAUGUCUACCUUAGACCAGAUGUCUGACUUUAAGAUGGUGACAGCUAGGUGUCCAACCUUAUCAACUAUCAUUCAUGGAAAACACUUCACAACUGCUUCACAACUGCAGUGCUGAAGACAUGCAGGUAAUGGCAAAAAGUUUCUCAUGCUGCAACUGUUUGGAUGUUGAUCUAUCUCUGUUGGUAAGCUCUGCAUGCCUUUCAGUGUCUCAUUUUCAGCUUUUACAUAGAGUGUUACUAGAGUAAAAUUCACUUGUUCUGAUGCACUGGGAAAUCAGUCUUACCUAGCUGACUGAAAAUAAUAUAAAUACCUAAAGAUGAGUUAGAUGUUUUCUAAUAAACUGGUGUUGAAUCAUCCAGUCAAUGACUGUUUGGAACUAGAAGAGAAAGAUGUUUUUCUUAUAGCAGCAGCAGCUUUCUUGUCCAGCUCUGAAGUGCAUCUUGGAACAUGACAUUGUUCAGCACAGAUUCAGAUGCUAAAAUUUCCAUUGCUUUCUUUAUCAGCAUUAAGAAAUGCAGCCUUGUUUACUACCAUGUAGUUAUGAUGGUACACUACAGAGUAUUAAAUUGGGAUCUCAUUAACUGGAGGAUUGUAUGUAACCAGAUUAUUUUCACAAACGAGCUGCCUUCUGAAUAUUGUUUUCUGUAUCCUUCCUCAGCCUAAUGGCAGGGAGGUCAGCAUCAGGAUAAACAAACCUCAUGCAAAUUCUGGUAUCCUGCUUUUAUUUCUUUACAUGCUUUUGUGCUUCUCUUUGGGCUUACAGCUGCAUCAACACAGCAGGGGGAAUAGGUGCUUUCUGAGCCUGGAACACACUGGCUGCUUGUUCCAGUCUCCCUGAUGGAACUUCUUGUGCCUGCAGUGCAGUCUGUGGCCAUGUGAGCACUUGUCUAUCGUUUCUGUGAAGUCUGGUGGCCUGACCUGGCCUCUGAGAUGUCUGAGUUUGCUAAAGCAGUGAUCACAUAUCUUUCCUACUGCUUAUUCUCCUGCUGGAAUAAGACGCAUGAUAGAGAGAAGAAAUGACAUCUGGAGUCAUUGCCCAUUGCUACAUGAAGGAAUAUCUAAGUCCUGGGGUUAACUUAGCCAAAUAUUCAGAAUUCAUUAAUCAGAAUCCAAACCAUUUGAAUGAUGUCUUAAAAAUGAGGACUUAAAAAUAAUAAAUGUGCUAAUUCUUCCCUAUUAUGCACCUGUGGAUUUUCCAGUUUUUCUUUGCAGCUAGGAAUUAAACAGACAGAGGGGUAGGUAUUAAAUAGACAGUCUGUUUAGUCUAUUUCAGAAGAAGAAGUUACCAGAAGACACCCAAAAUAUUAAGGCAUUGUACUACGCUGCAACCAAGAGAGAAGGUCUCUAUCCAUAUAUUUCAGUUAAUAAGUAGUUAUUGAUGAUAUAACAGACUUUUUUAGACUGAGCUGAAGUGUGUUUUCUUACAAGAUGAUUUUGGAUGCCUGAAAUAAAGCAUUUUCUCACACCUUUUAUAUUCCAGUCAGGAAAACUCAGCAGGGAUGUAAGUAUUUUCCCUGUAGCUCAUUAAGUUCCAGCAUCUGCAAAUAUUUAUCUGGUUGGUUGCCUUGUCUUUUAUUGAAGAUGCUUCUGAAAGAUGCUUUGGUGAAAUUAGUCUUUUCUUCAAGGAGAUCUAAAAGCUUGAGAUUGUGGAAGAACAUUUCUUGGUAAGUCCAUCUUUCUCAAAAAGAGAUUUGAACAGUUUGUUUCACACUGUGUACUUGUUCUAAGUGUAAGAGUGUCACUGCCCCAGGGCUCAGCUUCCAUCUCUUCUGGAACCCACGUAUCUAACCAGAGUGCUCUCCAGCAAGUGAGCUGUCUUCACAGCCAACAUCAAAAUUAUUUGUAAUAACAUAAGAGGUUUCUGAUAUGUCUCAUCUGUCAGAAACAAGAUGAGUGACAACCACAGCAGUAGUCACUAGAGGAAUCGCUCCAAAAGCCAUCACUGAAUCUGUUUUAAACUCACACAAUUAUAUACACACAUAAAGUAUUGAGUCAUGAUAUCUAAGUUAAUGUUUUUCCUGUGUUCAUAACUGAAUAAUCCUUCUUAAGUAUAAAUUCCUUUCUUACUCCUUUAGCUGAAAACAUUUCUGUACUGGCUGUACCACCAUAUGAGAGAAGAUUUUCACUGGGUUGUACAAAGGCAUCUUCAUAAAGAUAUUUAAUGAAGGAAGAUUAGAACAGUCUAUGAGAAGGCCAGGACCAACACAGCUAUUCUGAAGUUUUCAGCAAACAUAUGGUGCGUGUGCUGUUUCCAUCAUUAACCAGCCAGGCGGCAGAGAACGGAGCGCCUGCUUGAAAACAUUGUGGGAAUGGGAUUCCUGGUACUGGGAGUGCAGGCGUCUGUGACUGAGACUGUGGAUAUGCCUCCUUGCCAGCUAAUAUCUGGACAGAGCCAGAAAUUGCUCAUUAUAAGGCCUAAGUAUAAUUUUGACACACAUCACUUGUUGAUACUCUUCACGACUGGUUGUCACAUUCACAUUUUCUGAAAAAUCCCUCCACCCAGGAUUUUUCUCCUGGGAAGCUGAGAAGCCUCAGAGAAAAAGAGAAGCAAUAAUUAUCUCAUUUGCUUCUCCUGUGUUUUUCUGCUUUGAAAUAUGUUUGGAGAUUGUUUACCAACAGGUGAUUGUUUUAUUGGUUUUUGCUGUGAGUUGUUUUGUCUCAAUGGCCAAUCAGUGCCAAGCUGUGUUGGGACUCUGGAGAGAGUCACGAGUUUUCAUUAUUAUCUUUUCAGCAUUCUGUAAGUAUCCUUUCUGUAUUUUUAGUAUAGUAUAGUUUGGUGUUCUUUAAUAUAAUAUAGUAUAAUAAAAUAAUAAAUUAGCCUUCUGAGAACAUGGAGUCAGAUUCAUCAUUCCUUCCUUCUGACAUCGAGGCACCCCGCAAAUACAAUAAGUGGCUAUAUUUUCUCUUGUUAGAGACACCUAUUCACAGAAACAAUCAUUCAUUCUGGGCUUUUCCGACAGCGGUGCUGGUGUUACAGAGCUGACAUGUUGUGUGCUCCCCGCCAGCUUGUUGACAAAAAGAGAGAAAAACAUAAUUUAAUACAGAUGUUUGAGUGCAAAAAGUAUCAGCAACACUUCAGUCUUCUUUCAGUCCUGUCAAUCAAAUAUAUCCUCUCCACCAGAUAAGUUAACAUGCCCUGAAAAAAUGCCUGUUUUUGACAGGCAUGUGUGAUUUUUUUUUCUCUUUUUUUAUUCUCUGUUCCUUUGGCCUAUUCAUAUGUUAAUUUGUUCAGAAGACUACAGCCCUCCUCAUUCACUCUAGUGAUGAAUUCAGAUGAAGUUGUGGCCUCACCCCUAGGGCUUUAAAAUCUUCAUGUGUAAAUUAGUAAUUUCAGCUACACAGCAGAUCACUAUGUACAUCUGAAAUCAGUUUUAAGUGUGAACACGUCAGAUAAGUAUAUUUGCAUUUCUGAAUGUUUGAUCUCAAAUCAUUUGUUUAUAGACCUUUUUUUAAAAUGUGUUUAUUCUUGGAGAGAUAUGGUCUUCACAGCAAGUUCUGACCUCACCCCUUUUCCAUUUUCCUGUCUUUUUGAUAACAAACCUUGUCUAUUGGUACUUAUUUCACCUCCUAGCUUCUGUAAAACAUCCUAUUUAAAGUAGUAAAUCAGUCUGCCCUUGAAUAAAUUUUAUACUUGUCCUGAACAGAAAACUGGGAAUGCGCAUUGUGUGGACCAACACAAGUUUGGCUUUUUUCACCCAACUUUUGUUACUUCUAUAUAGAUAAUUUUUAUUCUCUCAUUCGUAUAUUUUUAAAACAGGAAAAGAAAUAUGUCUGGGGACUACCUGAUGCUGUUGUGAGUUUCUAGCUGUUGUGAUUUCUCUAGUACUAAUUUCUGAAUUCAAUAUGGCUGGGCCCCCUGUCAGCAGAUAAAUAACACCUUUAUGAGACUUUCAAUCUAGUUUCUAAUUUAUAAUGUUUUCCAAAAAAGAAACUGGCAAAGGGAGUCAGCUAUAUUUUGACCUUGCUUAUACUGAAUGUUUGUAACUAUAGGGAAUUUGAGAUCAUUCUGAUGAGCAGGAAGAUUUAUCAUCUGUUCAGUGAGAAUUCUUAGGCUGAGCUCUCUCUGCCAAUAAACCUUGAUAUUUAUCUUGCCUAAUUCUGUGUGAAAUUAAUGCAGAAAAUUCUUAAGGCAAAAAAGAUAGUUUGACUCACUAUAAGUUUAUAAUGUGUGAUACAGGAUAAAGUAAUUUGAAGUGGGGAGAAACCAUUCUGUUCUAUACUGGUUUUCCUGGAUUCCAUGACAAGGGAGUGAAAAUAGCAUGCUGGGCCCAGGACAGGUACGUGGUUUUGAAAUGGGUCAAGGAAAUUUUCAUCCUGCUUCAGACAGAGCUGUCCUGAUACAAAAUUUUAUUUUUCAGCAAUGUAUUUCAGCAUGAACAACAGUGCUAAAAAUAUAGCCACUGAUAAAAAUAUAGACGCUUGUGUUGUGUGCAGAAGCCUCAUUAGGACAAAAUUUAGUUAGCUAAGUGUGUCUGGAGAGAAGUCCAAGAGACUCUUUGGACCCCACAGGACUGUCCAGAACAAGGAACCAUAAACCUGUCUUUAAAAAGAUAUAUUUGAAAAAGAGAAAUAGAAGACAAAGAUGUAACUGUCACUGGAAACCAUGGCAACAGGUGGGGAAAUCUCAAAAGUGCAGAGAAUCCAGGAGCAUGUUUUAAGACUAAAAUGUAUUAAUCUCUUCUCUAUGAAAUCCCAGUCAUCUAGGGAACUGUCCUUCUGCAGCCUGCAAAACUUCACAUUGUGGAAACAUGUUUUGGAAACGUUCAUUUCUUUGAAAGAUUUCAAAAUGUAAUUAUGAGGAGGUAUCUGCACAGAGUAACUGCAUGGGGGUGAAGAUCUACAGAUGGGGCAAAUGUGCCCCAAAUGUGCUUUACAAAGCUCCAUCUUAAUCAAUCAUAACAAUACCAGACGUGUCCCUGAAAGAGGAAUACAGACGCCUCUAGGGUCAGGUAGCCCCUUCUCUCAGUCAGCUGUGGGAAGCCUGUCCAUGUGUCCAUGCCAGGUCGGUGUGUGACAGGACACCCAGCUUGUGCACAUAUUGGUUGCUCUGGCACUCCAGGAGUAGCUGACACCGGGUGGAAACUUAAGUGCCUGCCUGAGAUCUCCCAAGUUUAAGGAAAUUAAUUCUUAAUCAUCCACUUAAUUCUACUCAUCUUCCUCAUUAUUAUAGCAGGGCAAAAUUAUCAUGUUUUAAUUUAUGGAGCUGUGCAUAACAUUUGUCAGUGUCUUGCUACUUUUUACGCUCAGAAAUAUGACACCACAAUAUUAUUUGCUGGUAAUAUUUCGAAACCAUGUUAUAUAUCAGAACUAAGCACAAGGUCUGUACUUUUUAGUGCCCUAAUUGAUUUUUCUUGGAAUUUUUUUAUAAAGAUGAUGAGACAUGUUUCUCAAAACAUAUGAACACCAUAAUCCUAGAUCUCUGGUUUAUAUGCUUUUGAAAGAUUUAACAUGACGCUGAAAACAAGCAUUUAAAAGAAAAGGAGGCAAAGUCACUAUACGCACAUAAUUUUCUUUUUUUUCCCUUAAAUCGCAGUAAAACUCCAGCAUUAUUAAGAAAUUGUUUAACUCCUUAAAAUGCUUCAAAAUUAUGGAUUGAUGGCUGAAAAGUCCAAAUAUUUGGACAGAAAAAAUUUCAUACAAAGAGUCUGAGAAAUCACAGAUUUGAAAUACAAAACAAAGAACAUAUUGCUGUUUUUCUUUUUUUCUAGUAAUAUUCAAGCUGAUAGAUCAUCCAAAGAUUUUGCUCAAUUUAGGAGGGCCAGAAAGCCAUCUUUUUAUUCAAGAGGUCAUAAGUGCAUUGUAGCAUUUAGGCUUCCCUUUGGGUAUUUUGUUCCUGAUCCAUGCAGACUCCUAAAUAUCUCAGCAACUCCACCCAGAAACUUGUGUUCAUCCCAAAGAAUAAGCGAUAUCCUACUGCUGACCCACCAUCAUUCUAGAAGAAUUGCUGUCCCUCAGAUUAUCUGAAUGCAUUCAGAAUCAAGUAAUGUAAUAUUCAUUGCAGUAUGGAUGCUUUCAUACAAUUUCCAAUUAGAGAGAAGUAUUAAUGUGUUUUAUCUUUUACAUUUGUUUAUUUGUUUCUUCUCACUGAAGAAAUGUGACUGGAGGUUUUUGAACAGGUUGCCUUUCUUGCUAACUGUACGUGUUUGUUCCUAGACAUCUUUGUAAUCCUGCUGUCUCACUCCAACCUAGCUUUCUUUCUUUACACAGAUAUCCUGUAUUUUGUCUUUGUGUUGAUGGCAGCAAAGCAUGUCUAUCAAGUAAAAUCCUUUCCCUUAGCAUUUAAUUAUCUUUGAAUUUGUGUCAUGAUCAUCAAUUGUUCCAUUGACUGCCUUCUCUAAGACUGAGAAAAUGACAUGUCCCUGUUGACUGCCUGUUUUGCAAAAAUAACAACAUGAAAAAGCAUGAAAGGCUUGUCCUAAACUGUGUUAAGAAGUCCUCCUCAACCUGCAGUUUAAUAGAAAUUCUGUCAUGGGACAUCUGGGAGCUCAGCUGAAUGAUAUUUUUAAAACAGCAAGGGGCCAGUAUUUUUUUUCUGGUAAGUUUUGAUGAAAUAACAGGCAAAAUAUCAGCUCCUUUUGAAAUAAUUGGGAGGUUCACAAUAGAGAUCUGUCCUAGCUUUUUUUAAAGGGAAAACUCAACAUUGAGUGUUAUGCCUUGUGACUUCAGGACCUAGAACUGAUCCAUGCUGUAGAUCUCUCAUGGUCACUUUUCAAAAUUUAUUUUAGGGACUGGUCCACAUGCAUAAUACAUACCUUGGCUCAUGAAACAAAUUCUGAACCUAGACCACUAAUCUGGUCUUCUCCUGGCUCACCUAAAUCAGGAGAUUUGUUUGUUAUUGUGACCACAGUAAGUCCCAGUAUCCAAGGUGUGUUGGUGCCAGCAGGCAGCAUGUGUCAGUGGAGACCCACCUCUGGGAAUAGUGCAGGGCACAGAGCCCACAACCCUCCCAGCACUGCCAGGAGCCAAGUGCAUCAGGCUUCAGACAAGGGUUUCUGCCAUCAGCACGCCACCGGAUUGCUGGUGAAACAUACCCAGCAUCUGACUAAUUUAUAAAACCUACUAUAACUGAUCAGGUGACCAAUCCAAUGCCAAAGGAAAAACAACAUUAAAAAAUGGGAGAAAAUUCUUAAAAUGGAAAGUAUGAGCACAUGUCUGCAUAUAGCUCAACAGAUGGCAUCCUUUAAACAGGGUUUGUCCAUAUGGCAAGCAAGUAGAUAGAAUCUGAAUGCUGUAUAGGAUCCCAAUGGAGCAAAACCUGAAUUUUUUUUUAGUUGAAGAGUGUAUGCUAUAUAUCUCACUUAUGCUUCAGAUGACAACAUAACCAGUUUUAUGCCAUCAGCUUCUGGUUGUAGCUGCAAAUAAUCAGAGAGAGAAGGAAGAGAUGAAGGAGCAUCAACUUAUCAGUGUGUUAGGAAACCCUCUGAGUGAGGGUUUGAAUAAACAGAAUUGAACAACAGGAAAAAAGAGACAUUCAAACCCUAAAGAAGUUUUCAUAAACAGUUUAAUAAUUUAACAGCUGGCUAAGAGAAAAUGCCAUUACUGAAGCUGAUCGACUACCCAGUCAUUAGCACUGACAGACAGCAGAGUCCUGCAGUACCAAAAAGUCCAUGUCAGUUCAGAAAGGCUGCUGGGGACAUAAAGUUUCUCUAAUACAAUAGGUGUGUGCCUAGGAAGAGAAGAUUUCUGAACCAGAAUAAGAGCAUCCCUUGUCUAUUGAUUCCUCACAAGAGCUUAAGCAUUCAGCUCACACACUGGUUACUGCUCCUGAGCUGCAAACUCUUCUCAGCAGAGAUACCCCAGGCACAGAGGAGAGGUUGUAGCUGAGAAUGUAUUACCUGCUGUGGCACAGGGAUUACACUGCUUACUCAGGAGGAAGUCUACCUGACAGCCUUACAGUGCAGGAGAACUGGGAAGAAGCCAAAUUUAUCUAUGGAGAAAACUUUAAAUGUAGUUCCACCAUUCAUUUCAAACCAGAAAGUUUCCAUUCCCUUUGAAAGGAAGCAUAGAAAGGCUAUGAUGUUUGAAAACAAAGAAAACUAACGUAUCAAUAUUAAAUAUCUUUAUUUUAAUGGAAUUUAAUUGAUGACCAGUUCAAUCAACCUCACUUGUUGACAUACAAAGUAUCGAAAAAUAUUUCUCUUUUUUAACAAAAAAAAAGUAAUAAUAGAAAGAGCUCAGUUGAAAUAUUUCUUAGCUGAAUACACAUGUGUCUGCACAUUUGGUGAAACGGCAAAUUAAAUAUAAAUAUUUUAUAUAUUAAAUGUUCUGCAGUUAUCCACAUUUUCAAUUCAGUUUAACAAACACUUAUUGUCCUCUUUUACAGACAAUAUCAUUUUGGAACCAGGAAAAAUGAAAAGGUUGCAUAUGACAGUAAGGAACCUCUCUGGAAGAAAAUAUACCUGAACUGACCUAUAAAAAACCAAAACAGGCUGAUGUCAAACUGUUGUGCUUUUACUGCUACACUUCAUUACUGAAUGUACCAGUUAAAGUAAGACUGGACUAUCAAAGAAAUUGAGAACAAAACUUUAUUUUCAGUCUUAAAUUUUUCCUUUCAAAUGAAAUGUGAUAUCUGAGCACAUUUCUGGUUAUUUGCAACCACCUUGUGCCUGCAAUAAAGCCUGAAUACACAGAUUGCAGCACCUGCAUACUCUCUUGAAGACUUUGGAGGCAUCUUGAGGGCAAUAAGUUGUCUAUGCAAAUUAUGGUGGAAAACACUAAUAAAAGCCUGUCUUCAAAACAUCGUUAAAUUAUUUCUGAGUCUCUUGUUUCUGAGUCCCAUACAAGGCUAGAA